GUAAGCACAUCAAAGCCAUUAAAGCAUAAACCCCCAGAUUUAAAAACGUGAGAGGCGAAAGAUUAUGUAGCAUGGUCUGGCGGCUUUAUAGAACCCGUUUCAAAUGAGGUAUAGAACAAAAGAAUGUGUGAUUGAAGCUCUUGAAGAGAUUUAUUUCAGGAGAGAGGCAAACAUUUUGCUCUGAUACCAAUUAACCAGGAGAAAGCACCACGUCAUAAAUGCCAAUAUUAAAAAUGUAAAUCCUACACCCGAGGGUGUAUUGAAGACAGGUCAAAAUUCUUUGAAGAUGGAAUGCAUAAAGAGAUAACAGGAAGAGAGCCUUCCAGCUGCUCAGGCUACCUGUUUAGUUCUGUGUCCUGUCUGCUGAUGAGAUUUUCCACGGGGAAGCGGGCUCUUGUUUGGGGUGGUUUGGCUACUUGACCUAUUAUGCGGGAUUUAGAUCUCCUUCAAGAGAAUUUAUUAUGGGAACUCUAGAAGAUCUUGUUUAUAAUACUCCUUUAUCUGUAAUGACUUGGAGAUGUUCCAGGGUUUUUCUAGCAUAGUUUGGAUAGCAUAGUUCACAUAAUGGAUGUGUAAAGGUAUUUACAAAAUGCAGAGUGAAAACCAUCAAGUGCUAUGUAUAGCACUUUUAUGCCUUUUAAAGUAUGUUUACUUCCAUUAACUUGGUUGUUCCUCUCCAUAAUUCUGUGCAAAAGGAAAGGCAUACAGAGUCAUAGUCUUUAGAGCUUGGGAUGAAUUUAGGAUGAUUUAACCCAGCCCUUUCAUAGUAGAAAAGAGGCCCAGGGAAGUUGAGAGAUUUCAUCCCCAUUAGCCUCUUGGGGAAACUAAGCAAGGAGAGAUUUAAGCUUCUUGGCCACCAAAAGCAUUGCAUGUUGAAUCCUGGAUUUCUGUCAUUGGUAAUAAGGCAGCCCAGUCUUCUGGGAAAGGAAAUACACAAAAAAGUCAAACAAAAAGGUUGUCUGGAAUAGAGAUGUCUGUUGCUACAAAAAUAUUCAACUUCUUGUCACUGAACCAGGAUAAUAAAUCUCUUUACCUUCUGUAUUUUGGUGCAUUGAAACAUUAUCUUUUAUGAUCAUAGGUGUUGCUUCAUUAUUUAAAGCAUACUUGUUAUUGCAGGAAAGACAAGCUUGCAUUUGAUUUAUAAUGGAACCAUUGUGCUUUGAGUUAAAUGAAAGUUCAAAGGAAAAUGAAUUCUAAAUAAGAAUAAUUGAAGAGAUUCAAGGUUCAUUUGAGUUUAUAUUCAUCAAGGCAAUUGUCUCCGAAAUCCUCUUAUUUAAAGCAACAGGACAGAUCGUAACUUACAAACUUCGCCUUUAUGACAUCACUUCAUUCUAUAUAUCAUAAUCAGAAAUGUUAAGCCUCAGCAGUAAUUUAUACAAAAUGUAUUGUUACAGAGUUAUAAAUGUCAUUAAGUGGUAGACUUAUGCCUCAGUGUCAUGCAAGUUGAAUCUUGGAUUUAAAAAAAUUACCCAUAAUGCAAGUAUUCUAUAAAAAUAUUCUUAGUACUCUCUCCUCCACUGCAGCCUCAUAUUAAAAGUUCAGUUCCAUUUUCCACCUGUACUCUGCUCUGGGAAGUGCAACCUUUAUUUCUCCUUCAUGUUUUUAAAGUCACCUUCUUAAUUCUGGUAGAACAUAACUCAAACAACUGAAAAUGUUAGGAAUGGAUUUACAGUCCCUCUGGCUACUCUCUAUCUGGGAUGGAAAAGAAAGUGAAGCUGGAGAUAACUUUUCCUGCCAUCAAGGGACAUCUAUAGAGGAGAGGCAAUUAAUUGUAAUGUGCCAACUAGUUUUGAUUAUUCAGGGACUUGUGAUGGAAUUUGUGGAUUAUUCAGGUCCCUGGUUUUCUGUUUUGGCUAAUUUCACUGCUCAGUGGCACCUCCAGAGGUCAGGGACAGCUAUUCUCCUAUGGAGUGUCCCCAGAGAGACAGUGGCAAAGGAACCACCCCCUUUUGAGCAACUACUCUGUGUCAGACACAGGGAGGAUUUUUUUUUAACAUUUGUAGUCUUUCAUUAAUUUCACAACAAACCUCCAUUCUAUUUUACAGACAGUAAAAACUCAGUGUAAUUCAUUCAUUUCUCAAAUCUCUAUCAAGUGUAUUCUGUGUGCUAGUCCCUGGGAUAAAACAGUGAAUGAAAGAGAUGGGUCCCGGCUUUCUCUGAGCUUAGGAUGCAGGAAGGAAAAAAAAUAAAGUAGACAAAUCAUCAAAUAUAUAAAAUAUAAAAUUACAAACAGUGAUAUAUGUAAUGAAUGAAAAUUUUAAGGGAUCACAAAAUUUGUAAACAGGGGAUCUGAUCCAGUUGUGGAGUCAGAGAUGGCGUCCCUGAGGGCAUAAGCCUCUGCACUGGUGAUUGAAGAAUGGAAUAGAAGCUGUCAAAGCUUGCACGGCGAGCCCACAGCAGAGCUGGGAUUCAAACUCAGGUCUGCCUGACACCAGACUCUCUCUGUAUUGCACUACUACAGACAGUUGAAACUAUGCCCUGACAGGGAGACCUUUGACUCCCAGCCCCUAGCCCUGCUCCACCAGCUGCCCCAGAGAUGCCGUGUCCGUGGGAGUUGGUGAUGGUGGAUUGGAAGCUGAAGAGCUCCUGUGGUUUCUCAGCAAGUUUAACUGGCAAUAUGAAGGAGCCCUCACUCUCUGUGCAUUCUUUCCAUUUUCUUCAUGGUUCUGUCUAGAUUGGAUUUCGGCACUGGCAGGAGGGGUGUCCUUCUGGCAUGACUCCUGAUGGGGUUGUGUGGCUAAUUUCAAACAUUGGGAGGGGCUUGAUUAAUGACCAGCCCAAACCAGAGUUCAGAAACAUUGCCUGGAGCCUCUGUAAAACUCCCCAGAUCCUGCCUCCUUGUCUACCUCCCUUUACUCAACCCUGCCUCCCCUGAUCUAAAGCCAUCUUAGAGAUUGGCUACCUGCCUGAAAAACUCCCUGACCUGCUGAGGAACUGCAGCAGGGAGUCCUGUUAGCAGCUGUGGGAGGGUUGGAGUCUGACCAGAACAUUCCUCGCUCAUGUUUCCACCCACUCCGUGUCUGCAGGGUGAAAUGCCCCAUUGGAUGCGGUGGCCACCCCAGAGCUGCACCUUCUAGCUGGAUACAGGGAUAGGAGUGGUUGGGAUUGAAG
rnacentral:lncRNA from 1 species